GACGAACGCUGGCGGCGUGCUUAACACAUGCGAGUCGAACGGAAAGGCCCUGCUUUUGUGGGGUGCUCGAGUGGCGAACGGGUGAGUAACACGUGAGUAACCUGCCCUUGACUUUGGGAUAACUUCAGGAAACUGGGGCUAAUACCGGAUAGGAGCUCCUGCUGCAUGGUGGGGGUUGGAAAGUUUCGGCGGUUGGGGAUGGACUCGCGGCUUAUCCGCUUGUUGGUGGGGUAGUGGCUUACCAAGGCUUUGACGGGUAGCCGGCCUGAGAGGGUGACCGGGCACAUGGGGACUGAGAUACGGCGCAGACUCCUAUGGGAGGCAGUAGGGGGGAAUAUGGCACAAUGGGGGGAAGCGUGAUGCAGCAACGCCGCGUGCGGGAUGCCGGCUUUUGGGUUGUAAACCGCUUUCGCCGGUGACGAAGCGUGAUUGACGGUAAUGGGUAAAGAAGUACCGGCUAACUACGUG
rnacentral:rRNA from 1 species